CGCACGCAUUUUUCUCGCUCCCGUUGUCUUGUGUUUCGUCGUUGCUCUGGUGCCCUGUACUGCUGUGAAUGUAUUUUUGAACAACAAGGUUGGGACAGCGCACUCACGACGUGGGAAGAUACAUCACAGAAAUGUUGAAAGAUAUCAGAUGUGUGGAAACGUCGUAGCGGAUGAAUGUGAAUUAUGGAUCUCCAACAAGUGGCGUCACCCGGCGUCAUUUUCAAUAUUUUACCGUUUUUGAAGGCAAUAGGGCUGUUGAUAGGGAGAAUGCUAGGCUGCUGCCAGACUGCAACCAUAGGCGCUGUGUGUAAAGGUUAAGCUCAUAUGACGCGGCAGGCAAGGGAGUCCAUGGUGAAAAGUGAAUCUCGCAAAGUUGGAUAGCGUUAAUUUUUGCGCACGAAACGCAAGCUGGGCACAUCGCAAAUCUCAAGUUGUACGAAACACAGUGCAGCAUGGUCGCCGGUUAUCCCAGUGGUUCAACAUAUGUUUCAUCGUCGCAGUUCGGACAUUGCAGGCAUAUACCUUUGAGUUUACCCCUUGUGGACCGAUGCUGUGUGUGUUCAUGGACGUCAUGUUUUCAAAGACAUGUAAGUGCUCAAUAACCAGUUGCGAUAAAAUGAUUGUCAUGUUACGCUGUGAUAUAAUACCUGGUGAGGUGAU